rnacentral:rRNA from 1 species
GUAGGUGGCAAGCGUUGUCCGGAAUUAUUGGGCGUAAAGCGCGCGCAGGCGGUUCUUUAAGUCUGAUGUGAAAGCCCACGGGCUCAACCGUGAGGGUCAUUGGAAACUGAGAACUUGAGUACAGAAGAGGAAAGCGGAAUUCCACGUGUAGCGGUGAAAUGCGUAGAGAUGUGGAGGAACACCAGUGGCGAAGGCGGCUUUCUGGUCUGUAACUGACGCUGAGGCGCGAAAGCGUGGGGAGCAAACAGGAUUAGAUACCCUGGUAGUCCACGCCGUAAACGAUGAGUGCUAAGUGUUAGGGGGUUUCCGCCCCUUAGUGCUGCAGCUAACGCAUUAAGCACUCCGCCUGGGGAGUACGGCCGCAAAGGCUG